AGGAAGAGGACCUGGUUUGAGUAAUUGGAA
rnacentral:piRNA from 1 species